UACGAAGGGGGCUAGCGUUGCUCGGAAUCACUGGGCGUAAAGGGCGUGUAGGCGGUGUGUCAAGUCAGGCGUGAAAGCCCCGGGCUCAACCUGGGAACAGCGCUUGAGACUGGCACGCUCGAGUCCGGGAGAGGUGAGUGGAACUGCGAGUGUAGAGGUGAAAUUCGUAGAUAUUCGCAAGAACACCAGUGGCGAAGGCGGCUCACUGGCCCGGUACUGACGCUGAGGUGCGAAAGCGUGGGGAGCAAACAGG
rnacentral:rRNA from 1 species